rnacentral:rRNA from 1 species
GAUGAACGCUGGCGGCGUGCUUAACACAUGCAAGUCGAACGAAGAGGCGCAGCUUGCUGGGUGGAUUCGUGGCGAACGGGUGAGUAACACGUGAGUAACCUGCCCUUAACUCUGAGGUAGGCCUGGUCGACUGGGCCUACUACAGGACAGGAAAGUCCACCGCAUGGGGGGUGCUGUAAAGAUUUAUCGGUUUUGGAUGGACUCGCGUCCAAUCCGCUUGUUGGUAAGGUAGUGGCUCGCCAAGGCGUCGACGGGUCGCCGGCCUGUGAGUGUGACCGGCCACUAUGGGACUGAGACACGGCCCAGAAUCCUACGGGAGGCAGUAGUGGGGAGUAUUGCAGAGUGGGGUCAAGCCUGUUCUAGCGGUGCUGGGUGCGUGAUGACGUCCUUUGGGUGGUAAACAAAUUUCAGUAGGGAUGAAGCGAAAGUGACGGUACCUGCUGAAGAAGCCCCGGCUAACUACGUG